rnacentral:rRNA from 1 species
GUUGUAUAGUCAAGUAAUUAAGUGCAUGUGGUGGAUGCCUUGGCAGUCAGAGGCGAUGAAAGACGUGAUAGCCUGCGAAAAGCUCCGGGGAGGCGGCAAAUAUCCUUUGAUCCGGAGAUGUCUGAAUGGGGGAACCCACCUACUUUAAGGUAGGUAUUGCAACAUGAAUACAUAGUGUUGCAAGGCGAACGAGGGGAAGUGAAACAUCUCAGUACCCUUAGGAAAAGAAAUCAAUUGAGAUUCCCUCAGUAGCGGCGAGCGAACGGGGAUCAGCCCAUUAAGUUAUGUGUGUUUUAGUGGAACGCUCUGGGAAGUGCGAACGUAGAGGGUGAUAUUCCCGUACACGAAAGGGCACACAUAAUGAUGACGAGUAGGGCGAGGCACGUGAAACCUUGUCUGAAUAUGGGGGGACCAUCCUCCAAGGCUAAAUACUCCUGACUGACCGAUAGUGAACCAGUACCGUGAGGGAAAGGCGAAAAGAACCCCUGUGAGGGGAGUGAAAUAGAUCCUGAAACCGCAUGCAUACAAGCAGUGGGAGCACCUUCGUGGUGUGACUGCGUACCUUUUGUAUAAUGGGUCAGCGACUUAUAUUCAGUAGCGAGGUUAACCGUAUAGGGGAGCCGUAGAGAAAUCGAGUCUUAAUAGGGCGUUUAGUUGCUGGGUAUAGACCCGAAACCAGGCGAUCUAUCCAUGAGCAGGUUGAAGGUUGGGUAACACUAACUGGAGGACCGAACCCACUGUCGUUGAAAAGCCAGGGGAUGACUUGUGGAUAGGGGUGAAAGGCUAAUCAAGCCUGGUGAUAGCUGGUUCUCCCCGAAAGCUAUUUAGGUAGCGCCUCGGACGAAUACCAUAGGGGGUAGAGCACUGUUUCGGCUAGGGGGUCAUCCCGACUUACCAAACCGAUGCAAACUCCGAAUACCUAUGAGUACUAUCCGGGAGACAGACUGCGGGUGCUAACGUCCGUAGUCAAGAGGAAAACAAUCCAGACCGCCAGCUAAGGCCCCAAAAUCAUAGUUAAGUGGGAAACGAUGUGGGAAGGCAUAGACAGCUAGGAGGUUGGCUUAGAAGCAGCCACCCUUUAAAGAAAGCGUAAUAGCUCACUAGUCGAGUCGGCCUGCGCGGAAGAUGUAACGGGGCUAAAACUAUGUGCCGAAGCUGCGGAUGUAUACUUUGUAUACGUGGUAGGGGAGCGUUCUGUAAGCCGAUGAAGGUGUGUUGAGAAGCAUGCUGGAGGUAUCAGAAGUGCGAAUGCUGACGUGAGUAACGACAAAACGGGUGAAAAACCCGUUCGCCGAAAGACCAAGGGUUCCAGUCCAACGUUAAUCGGGGCUGGGUGAGUCGACCCCUAAGGCGAGGCCGAAAGGCGUAGUCGAUGGGAAAAUGGUUAAUAUUCCAUUACUUCUGUGUAAUGCGAUGAGAGGACGGAGAAGGCUAAAUCAGCCUGGCGUUGGUUGUCCAGGUGAAAGGAUGUAGGCAUGUAUCUUAGGCAAAUCCGGGGUACUCUAUGCUGAGAUCUGAUAGCAAGCUGUACUUGUACAGCGAAGUGGUUGAUGCCAUGCUUCCAGGAAAAGUCUCUAAGCUUCAGUUACACAGGAAUCGUACCCGAAACCGACACAGGUGGUCAGGUCGAGUAGACCAAGGCGCUUGAGAGAACUCUGCUGAAGGAACUAGGCAAAAUGGUACCGUAACUUCGGGAGAAGGUACGCUGUUGUUGGUGAUGGAACUCGCUUCCUGAGCUGACGACAGCCGCAGAAACCAGGCCGCUGCAACUGUUUAUUAAAAACAUAGCACUCUGCAAACACGAAAGUGGACGUAUAGGGUGUGAUGCCUGCCCGGUGCUGGAAGGUUAAUUGAUGGGGUUAGCGUAAGCGAAGCUCUUGAUCGAAGCCCCAGUAAACGGCGGCCGUAACUAUAACGGUCCUAAGGUAGCGAAAUUCCUUGUCGGGUAAGUUCCGACCUGCACGAAUGGCAUAAUGAUGGCGGCGCUGUCUCCAGCAGAGGCUCAGUGAAAUCGAAAUCGCUGUGAAGAUGCAGUGUACCCGCGGCUAGACGGAAAGACCCCGUGAACCUUUACUGCAGCUUGACACUGAACUUUGACCUUACUUGUGUAGGAUAGGUGGGAGGCUUUGAAGCUGGAACGCUAGUUCCAGUGGAGCCGUCCUUGAAAUACCACCCUGGUAAUGUUGAGGUUCUAACUCUGUCCCGUGAUCCGGGACGAGGACCGUGUCUGGUGGGUAGUUUGACUGGGGCGGUCUCCUCCUAAAGAGUAACGGAGGAGUACGAAGGUGCGCUCAGCGUGGUCGGAAAUCACGCGUAGAGUAUAAAGGCAAAAGCGCGCUUAACUGCGAGACCCACAAGUCGAGCAGGUACGAAAGUAGGUCUUAGUGAUCCGGUGGUUCUGUAUGGAAGGGCCAUCGCUCAACGGAUAAAAGGUACUCUGGGGAUAACAGGCUGAUACCGCCCAAGAGUUCAUAUCGACGGCGGUGUUUGGCACCUCGAUGUCGGCUCAUCUCAUCCUGGGGCUGAAGCAGGUCCCAAGGGUAUGGCUGUUCGCCAUUUAAAGAGGUACGCGAGCUGGGUUUAGAACGUCGUGAGACAGUUCGGUCCCUAUCUACCGUGGGCGCUGGAAAUUUGAGAGGAUCUGCUCCUAGUACGAGAGGACCAGAGUGGACGAACCUCUGGUGUACCGGUUGUGACGCCAGUCGCAUCGCCGGGUAGCUAUGUUCGGAAGGGAUAACCGCUGAAAGCAUCUAAGCGGGAAGCCUACCUCAAGAUAAGAUUUCCCUAGGACUUUAUGUCCUCUAAAGAGCCGUUCGAGACUAGGACGUUGAUAGGUUGGAUGUGGAAGCAUAGUGAUAUGUGAAGCUGACCAAUACUAAUUGCUCGUGAGGCUUGACUAUACAACACCCAAGCAG